UCAAGUCAAGUACACAUUGUUGUUGUCGUGUGUGUGUGUGUUGGUCAUCUAUACAUGUGAAGAAAUGUAAAUAGAUGUGAAGAAAUGCCCAAGUAGGCUGCCCCUUACUGUGUCAAGAUCCUUUGCCAAGAGACUCACAUAAGCUUGAGGUCAAUGGAAAAGCAAUGCUCACAAUUUCAUUUGGGGGAGACUGAGGGACUGCUGACUUUGCAGCAGGCAUUAUAGCCCCUAAUCAAGGAGGAUCAAUUAGCUUCCUUGGAGUCCGGGUGACCAUUUUAUCUUCUUUUGGUCCCUAAAGUCACCUUACACAGUGGGAGACCUACACAAGAUGUUGAAAGGAAAUGUAUUAAAUCAAAAUGAAUUAAACACAGACUACGAACCAUAACUGUUUUGCUACUUUGGAAAAGUAUAGUGACUUCCUCGGAUUUAUUUCUUUGCUAUUAUAUUGCUAAAACUUCUAAACACUGUACUGGUUCUUAAAAACAGCAAGAGGAGAACAAGUGAAACUACAUUUCACUCUGGAGCAAAUCUUUGCUGAAGAAGAGUAUCAAGGAGAAAGUGAAUGAGAUAGAGUUUAAAUAACUAUGUCAAGAAGGUGAAGAAAUAUAGGGAAUCAGAAGAAUUAUAAAAGUUUCUGGAGAGCUCUCUUUCACUGUUCUUUAUCAUAUCAUGACAAAUAUGUUGAAGAGGCAAGGCUGAACGCUGGAGCCAGCACCUACAGACCUUUCUUGAGUAUGUUCACCAAUGUUAGAAGGAAAUGGCUUUCCCUUGACCCCUAUAAAGAAUGGCUUUCUUUAAAUUCUCCAAGUCUACGUCCCACCUUUUCUCUCAUGACAGAGAUGAAUUAACUGACUUUGACCAGAUGUUUUCCCCACAUUGACUCAUCUAAUGCCUACAGGUUUUAAAACAUGACCACCUAAAACUGAAUGAGAUUUUUACAUAGCAACAGAAGAGUUUUAUUACACCAGAUGGUGUUGUUUUAUAGUUAUGAAAAUCAGUGCUUCCUACUCCAAUAGCAGUCAGCUCCUCAGCCCUGAGGCAUUUUAAUACUUCGAUGAAGGCUUUGUCAAGCACGAGUGUAUCAUAUUCCCUACUUUAAUCAUGCCCAGUGCCUAGCACCGAGUAGGAGCUCGGUAAGACGGUUAUUGAACAACUGAAUUAAUUAGAGCAUAUUUUUAACACACCAUACAAUUAAUUAUGCCAUUUCAACAAACAUGCCAGCUAGGCUUCAAACAUUUUUUUAAUUGAUAUGGAUGAAAAUGAGGGAACUCAGUUUCUGGAAUUCUUCCUCUGGACUCAGGCCAGUGCAACUCUUUAAUGUCCUGCUUCCUUUUCCUGCUGUUUGUCAAGGAUGAGUUCUCACUAUUUUUACUUAAGAACCAAUCACAUUGGUUAGGUCAUUAAGUUUUAGUGAAUAUAUGGCCAUUUUGUGAAUCCUUGACUUGGAUACGCUGAUUAAGUCAUUUUGAACUGGGCCUCAUUUCUUGGCAGCUCCUCUUUCCACCACCAAAUAUUCUCCACACCUAUCCGUGGUUGGUACUUCACAGAUAACCCAUAGAAGAAGGGUUGGGAUUGGGUUUUUGUUUGUUUGCUUGUUUGUUUGUUUUGUUCCUAGGGUCUCUGUCAAGAAUAACCAUUAGCCAAGACAGUCACUGUCUAGGAGAACCCUGACAGAGCAGAAAGCUGGGUUCCGGUGUGUGCUUCAGGCAAGACAGGAUGAGGACAUGAAGCCAAAAUGCAUGAAAUAAGAAAUGUAUUACUCACAGGUCCAGAGGAAUUAAGGGUGCUGAUAAGAGUCUGACGGAAAGUCGAUGGCCACAGGGAGCUCAAGUCAGCAUCAGGGGAGUGAGCAGGAGGGAGAGAGGAGAUGUGAGGCUACAGCUUAAAAAGGUCCAUGGGAAUCAGCUCUUCGGCUUUCCCAGCAGCUGUGGAUCAGGUAGCUUAAACACAUAGGAAGCAGGAGAACUUGAAAUGUGACACAGGUGGUGACCAUUAAGUUUAUCAUGAUCAGAACCUGUGUGUAGUCUUGGUUUUGAGUCAAUGAGAUGAGGUAGAAAGGGGAACCACACAGGGAGAGGAAGUUUGAAUUAGGCCAGAGAUGACAAGGGUAUCCCUGGGUUUCAAAUAAUUAGUCAGUCCUAAAAAUGGAUAACGAGGCAGCAUCUUCCAUAAAUAAACUUAUGACAACAGGUAGCACAGAGAUGAUGUGUAACAACUUAAAUCCAUCUAGAAACAAUUAAAUGGAUGGAUAGGCAACUGGAUGUGCUAGUGAUGGGCAAUCAUGUGGGGUGACUCAAAAGUUAAGUGUUCAAUAUCAACCAUUGCUUCAAAGCUCCCUGAAUGGAAAAUAAGACUUUGGGACAGAUUUCAUAAAAUUUGUUUUUACAGCAUUACAAAAGUAACAUGUUUUCUGAAAUAAAACAUACAUUUAAAAAAAUCAAAAGCCAUCCUUCUCCCUGUCCUCAGCUUCUCACACCCAAUACAAAUAGCCUUAAAGAUUAAUAAAUUAUAAUACAUUGCUAUUAUUCUUUUAUACCUUUUAUAGGCACACAAGCUCACACACUGGCCUGUACUACACAUUUCCUACAAUGUGCCAUAUAUUUUUUAACAGAAAAUUGCAGAGUCAGCCGUGGUCACACAUGCCUUUCUUUAAUUCCAGCAACUCAGGAGCUGAGGCAGGAGGAUUGCAAGUUCCAGGCCAGUCUCAGCAAAUUAGUGAGGCCCUAAGCA